CCUACGGGAGGCAGCAGUGAGGAAUAUUGGUCAAUGGGCGCGAGCCUGAACCAGCCAAGUAGCGUGAAGGAUGACUGCCCUACGGGUUGUAAACUUCUUUUAUAUGGGAAUAAAAUGUUCCACGUGUGGGAUUUUGUAGGUAACAUAUGAAUAAGGAUCGGCUAACUCCGUGCCAGCAGCCGCGGUAAUACGGAGGAUCCGAGCGUUAUCCGGAUUUAUUGGGGUUAAAGGGAGCGUAGGUGGAUUGUUAAGUCAGUUGUGAAAGUUUGCGGCUCAACCGUAAAAUUGCAGUUGAAACUGGCAGUCUUGAGUACAGUAGAGGUGGGCGGAAUUCGUGGUGUAGCGGUGAAAUGCUUAGAUAUCACGAAGAACUCCGAUUGCGAAGGCAGCUCACUGGACUGCAACUGACACUGAGGCUCGAAAGUGUGGGUAUCAAACAGGAUUAGAUACCCUAGUAGUC
rnacentral:rRNA from 1 species